CUAACUAACCAUCCCCUCAGGAAACCUCAUCCUCCCCUCUUCCCUAGGAGAAAAACCCACAGCUAUUAUUGCAAGAGUGGGAGUUGGGGGCCACGCCUGGUGGGAGUAGGGGUCUUGGGGAUGGCCAGAGGAGAAGCUUGUCUUAGGAAUAUUCUCACAGGCUUGUGCCCCAAGCCUCCCAGGAAGCCAUUUCAAUUCUCAGUGGAGAGAUAAAGGGAACUGAGAGGCGGCAGCCCCUUCACACAAGCCUGUGUUGACAUGCUGAAAGGUUGUCAUGGUAACAGCCGUGUGUCAGGGGCAGCUGGCAGAAAUGUAAUCUGGGUAAACAACAGGCUUGCCCUCCCAACUGGCCAGGCAGGGCAAGGGUCAGAGACUGGAAGGUGGGGGGGGUGAGCCUUCCUCCCCCACAUAACCCCCAUACUCCCCCCCCUAUCUUUCCUCUGAGGCUCUUGACUAGUGAGCAAAUGGAAGGACUAUGAGAGAGACUAUGAGAUGAAUGUUUUUUUUUUUGUUUUGUUUUGUUCUGUUCUGUUUUUAAAUGACAGUCCACAGGGGCUGAAGUCUGUGGGCACUGGGUCUACCCACAAAGGUACCAGCUCUUUGUUGAAUAACUUGAGCCCCGAGUGGUGCUUCUGUGCCAGCUGGGCCAGUGAUCUCCAGAGCUCUCCCCUUCCUGAGGAAACAACAAUCCCCCGCCCUGCACUGGGAGAGCAGCAUCCCAGCUCUACCGGGUCCCAAGCAUCCAACCCAACCCUGCUUGAUGGAGUUUUGAACCCUGAGGACAAAAGGAUCCUGGUCCCCAAUUUUCUCCUAAUUCCUUGAAUGGGGAGCACAUUUGAGGAUUUCUCAAAGCCACCAGAUGGAGAAAAAUAAAUGGAAAAAAUAACAAGUUUACUGACAAAGCUGAAUCCUCCUGGAAAAUAUGAACAAGGCUUUUCUGGGUCAACACACAGACAACUCUUAAGAAUCACAGAAUGUUGGAGCACUGAACAUCAGAGAGGGGAUUCUAGAACAUGAAAUGUGAUGGGUGGAAGCGACCUUCGGAGAGAGAAUGUUAUUAAUGCCAGGAGAGACCGCAGAGAUCUUUAUCCCAAGCUCCCUUGUUCUACAUAUGUCAGGACUAAGGCUCCCCACGGAGAAGAGACUUGCUCAGCUUCAUGAAGCAGGUUUUGAAGGAUCACUGGGAUUUAUUUAAACAGAGAGGAAGAUGGGAGGAUCCUUGUGAGCAAAGAUAUGAUCACUGAUACUUAUAUACUGCUCUAAUGUUACUAUGUAUAACUCAUCUUCACAACAGUAUCAUCUCCAUU